rnacentral:rRNA from 1 species
UACGAAGGGGGCGAGCGUUGUUCGGAAUCACUGGGCGUAAAGGGCGCGUAGGCGGCCCUCCUUGUCGCGUGUGAAAGCCCCGGGCUCAACCUGGGAACGGCGCGCGAGACGGGGGGGCUGGAGUUCGGGAGAGGAGCGUGGAAUUCCCAGUGUAGAGGUGAAAUUCGUAGAUAUUGGGAAGAACACCGGUGGCGAAGGCGGCGCUCUGGACCGAGACUGACGCUGAGGAGCGAAAGCGUGGGGAGCGAACAGG